GGUGAAGAGACUGAGAAGAAGGUGACCAGAGCACAAUGAUGGACAGAGCACUUGGAAAGCAGACCACGAGGCAGGGCGGUGCCCGUGGGAAGAAGGGGCUGGAGCACACUGCAGGUGGGUUGCCGAGCAGAAGCUCUAGAAGAUGAGGGCAUGAGAAGAGGAGCAAAGGACCAUGAGCUGAGGAAGGUGCUGGACAGGCACUCUUCUUUCCCUGGAUGAAGAUGAAGCCACCUACCCAAGAAGUAAAGAAAUGUCUUCUUGGCUUUUGAAAACUUGGUGUUUGGUAGGU